rnacentral:rRNA from 1 species
GUGUANGUAUAAAUAAUUUUACUUUGAAACUGCGAAUGGCUCAUUAUAUCAGUUAUAGUUUAUUAGAAAUAUUUUACUACUUGGAUAACCGUAGUAAUUCUAGGGCUAAUACAUGAGUAAAACCUCAACUUCGGAAGAGGUGUGUUUAUUAGUAUGAAAACCAUAUAUCUUCGGAUAUAAUAGUGAGUAAUAAUAACCUUUCAUAUCGUAUGUCGUAAGAUAACGAUAGUUCUUUCAAGUUUCUGCCCUAUCAGCUUUCGAUGGUAGUAUAUGGGACUACCAUGGCAGUAACGGGUAACGAAGAAUUUGGGUUCGAUUUCGGAGAGGGAGCCUGAGAGAUGGCUACCACAUCCAAGGAAGGCAGCAGGCGCGUAAAUUACCCAAUCCUGACAUAGGGAGGUAGUGACAAUAAAUCACAAUGCGGAACUNUUANUUUU